GAAGGCUCAUAGCUCAGUGGUAGAGCAUCUGCCUUGGAAGCAGAAGGUCCUGGGUUCAAUCCCAAGCAUCUUCA